rnacentral:rRNA from 1 species
CAGCAGCCGCGGUAAUACGGAGGGUGCAAGCGUUAUCCGGAUUUAUUGGGUUUAAAGGGUCCGUAGGCGGACUUAUAAGUCAGUGGUGAAAGCCUGUCGCUUAACGAUAGAACUGCCAUUGAUACUGUAAGUCUUGAGUAUAUUUGAGGUAGCUGGAAUAAGUAGUGUAGCGGUGAAAUGCAUAGAUAUUACUUAGAACACCAAUUGCGAAGGCAGGUUACCAAGAUAUAACUGACGCUGAGGGACGAAAGCGUGGGUAGCGAACAGGAUUAGAGACCCCCGUAGUCCCUGUCUCUUAUAC